rnacentral:rRNA from 1 species
UUCCGGUUGAUCCUGCCGGACCUGACUGCUAUCGGAUUGAUACCAAGCCAUGCGAGUCAUUGUAGCAAUACAAGGCAGACGGCUCAGUAACGCGUAGUCAACCUAACCUAUGGACGGGAAUAACCUCGGGAAACUGAGAAUAAUGCCCGAUAGAACACUGUGCCUGGAAUGGUUUGUGUUCCAAAUGAUUUAUCGCCGUAGGAUGGGACUGCGGCCUAUCAGUUUGUUGGUGAGGUAAUGGCCCACCAAGACUAUUACAGGUACGGGCUCUGAGAGGAGUGGCCCGGAGAUGGGUACUGAGACACGGACCCAGGCCCUAUGGGGCGCAGCAGGCGAGAAAACUUUGCAAUGUGCGAAAGCACGACAAGGUUAAUCCGAGUGGUUCCUGCUAAAGGAACCUUUUGUCGGUCCUAGAAACACCGAUGAAUAAGGGGUGGGCAAGUUCUGGUGUCAGCCGCCGCGGUAAAACCAGCACCUCAAGUGGUCAGGAUGAUUAUUGGGCCUAAAGCAUCCGUAGCCUGCUUUGUUAGUUUUCGGUUAAAUCUGUACGCUCAACGUACAGGCUGCCGGGGAUACUGCAAAGCUAGGGAGUGGGAGAGGUAGACGGUACUCGGUAGGAAGGGGUAAAAUCCUUUGAUCUAUUGAUGACCACCUGUGGCGAAGGCGGUCUACCAGAACACGUCCGACGGUGAGGGAUGAAAGCUGGGGGAGCAAACCGGAUUAGAUACCCGGGUAGUCCCAGCUGUAAACCAUGCAAACUCAGUGAUGCAUUGGCUUGUGGCCAAUGCAGUGCUGCAGGGAAGCCGUUAAGUUUGCCGCCUGGGAAGUACGUACGCAAGUAUGAAACUUAAAGGAAUUGGCGGGGGAGCACCACAAGGGGUGAAGCCUGCGGUUCAAUUGGAGUCAACGCCGGG